rnacentral:lncRNA from 1 species
UAUGAUGGCAUAACUGACAUUUGGAACAUAAUUGUUAACAUGUGACUGUCAAAUUCUGCUUCCUCAAACUGUUCUUAUUACCCUUUCUCAGCAUAUCUCUUCCUCUCUUUAGAAUCCCUGAGACGCCACCAAGGAAACAGAUCUCCUCUAAUGGUGCUGAAGACACACCUGCAACAAAGGACCAGAAUUGAGUUACAGUGCUUGGCUGCUCAUUGGAACAUGGCUCUUCAGUAUGUGGAAUCCAGCCAUCCUUGCUCAUCUCUUCAGAGGAACCUUCUCACCACUCCUGGACACAGAGCCUGCAUAGGGUGAUGCUCUGCACGCUUCUCCCUCCGCGCCCCGUAUCUCCUACCCUGGCAGUACCGGAGGAGAGGCUGAAGAAGUUGGGCAUGUCUGAAGCGGCUCAGCCUUGCAGGGAGAGAGGGGGGCAGUAGCUGCUCAGAGCAGCCCGGUGCUUGGAGCAGGAUUUGCCGGUAUGUAUAUGGGUCUGUGCUUUAUGACAGCUGGAAGUAUGAUGGGAGGAGGAAAGGGGGGGUG